rnacentral:rRNA from 1 species
GAUGAACGCUGGCGGCGUGCCUAAUACAUGCAAGUCGAACGGGGAGUAGCAAUACUCUUAGUGGCGAACGGGUGAGUAACGCGUUGGUACCUGCCCCGAAGCGGGGGAUAACGGACCGAAAGGUCCGCUAAUACCCCAUGUGCUCGGUAACGAGUAAAGGUGAAAACCACUUUGGGAGGGGCCUGCGUCCCAUCAGCUAGUUGGCAAGGUAACGGCUUACCAAGGCGAUGACGGGUAGGGGACCUGAGAGGGUGGCCCCCCACAAUGGAACUGAAACACGGUCCAUACACCUACGGGUGGCAGCAGUAGGGAAUAUUGGUAAUGGGCGCAAGCCUGAACCAGCAACGCCGCGUGUGCGAUGACGGCCUUCGGGUUGUAAAGCACUUUUGACGGGGACGAGGAAGGACGGUACCGGUCGAAUCAGCCUCGGCUAACUACGUG